rnacentral:lncRNA from 1 species
AUAAGUGUUGUUUAUUUAACAUUCAGUGGCAAAAUUUUCAUGCUGUUUCAAUGUAAGAUAAAUUGUUGGUCAUUAAACGUUCAGUGGCAAAUUUUUCAUGCUUGUUCAAGACUAUACAUGAGAUAUAUGAUAAAAAGUGUUGGUUAUUUUACGUUCAGUGGCAAAUAUUCCCUGCUAGCUCAAUACGAAAAAGGAGACAUAAUAUAAGUGUUGUUUAUUUAACAUCCAGUGGUAAAUAUUUCAUACUCAUUCAUGACAAUAGAGGAUAUAUUAGAUAAAAGUGUUUGUUAUUCGAUGUCCAGUGAAAAAUAUUCCAUGAUUUUUUGGGACGAUUAAGGAUAUACGAUAAAAGUGUUUGAUAGUAAAAGUCCAGUUGCAAAUAUUUCAUGCUUGUUAGUGACGAUUAAGAAGAUAUAAGAUAAGUGUUGGUUAUUUAACGUCCAGUGGCAAAUAUGUCACGCAUUCAUGACGAUAAAGGAUAUAUUAGAUAAAAUUGUUUGUUAUUCGAUUUCCAGUGGCAAAAAGUCCAUUACGGUUAAAGAUAUAUACGAUUAGAGUGUUGAUUGUUUAAAGUCCAGUGGCAAAUAUUUCAUGUGUAUCCUUGAUAAUAAAGGAGAUAUAAGAUAAAAGUGUUUGUUAUUUAACGUCUAGUCUCAAAUACUUCAUGCUUGUUAAAAGUGUUGGCUAUUUAACGUCCAGUGGCAAAUAUUUCAUGCUUGUUCAAGACGAUAUAGGAGAUGAGUGUUAAAAUAUUGGUUAUUUAACGACCAUAUGUUAUACAUGCAUGCCGUGUCAAGUUAUUCUGCAGAUAGUACAAUUUUACCUUAAUGUCUUUGCAAAGUAAAUAACCCAAUAGACAAUAUAAGUUGAUUGUUGCUGAUCUUAUUAUGGCUUUACAUCUAAUCUGGACUUUAUUCAAGAUUUUAUUUAAAUUUUUCAGUAUUUGGUCUUCUUUCAAUUUUAUUAUUUUAGGGCAAUUAUUAUAACAAAAAGAAGGUGUUAUUUCUGUACUGUUGUUUGUUCUGCUUGUUGCUCUUUUCUCUCGGCCUCUCGACAGACGAACUACAUCUGUGAGAGCUGAGUCUGGAAUCUUACAUUUUGUGGGG